AGAGAUCAGACCCUAGAUUUCCAAGAGCUAAAAUUUCAUAGAAAAGAAAACAACUGAAAAACUUCUGCAGAAACACUGUUCCAUUAGAAAAUUUCUGAAAUUUUGAGAUCUCCACUCUGAAAAAAUUCUGAAUAGCUGAAGGUUAAAAUGACUUGAGUUUUGGUUGGUAUUCAAGUGCUUGGGUUCAGGUUUUGGUUGUGUUUUGAUUCUGAACUUUAUGUGAUGGGUUCAAAUCUGGUUUAAAGUGGUUAUUUCCCUUAUCAUUUCUGGGUUGAUUCUGUUGUUGAACACUGAUCCUGUUGUUCUAUUGCUCACCUUUCAUUUUUCUGUGUUGUUUUUCAAAUUCCAGGUAUGUCUCCUGAAACUCUAUAUGCGUUAUUGAAGCUUUGAAUGAAAGAAGGGAAUAAGAAGGAAAUUUUGAAGGCAUAGUUUUAUUCUAUUUGUUUAUGUUUGUCUUAAGUUUCUGUUGUUAGUAGAAUGUUAUCCUAUUAAAUAGAUUCCUUGUUAAGAAUAUAGACCUUCCUCAUUAUUGAUUUUGAAUUUGUUAUACGACUGGACUGGAUUUUUCUAUUUUGUGCAUGAGUAUUCGAAGAUUCUGUUUCGUUUAGCAUUUAGGUUCAGUCAGUCAUAUGCUCAUGGGUUUUGAUUGAAUGUUCACCUGGAUUUUUGGGUAUUGCAAAUUAUGGUUAAAAGAAAAGGGAUCUAUAUCUUAUGACUGUUACAUAUCUUCUCAGAUAAUUGUUGAACCUCGUUUAGUCCUCUAAUAGUUGAGGACUAUUAGGAUUUCAAAAUGAAUUAUUUGAUUAGUUCAAUAAAGGGUCAAGCAAUGUGCAGAAAUACCAUGUUUACUCAUGAGUAAGUGAAGUUACUAUGUUGAUUUGUCCUUGAGGUUCAGUUUUUUUCAGUUGUGUGCAUAAAAAUCGGUAUGCCUUCGAAUGUUCGAAGAAAUGACCAUUGAUUUGGG
rnacentral:lncRNA from 1 species